rnacentral:lncRNA from 1 species
CGCGCCUGCCCGGCAGGGUCAGGUGAGCGUUGAGCUCCCGCAGACGCCCUUGGCCCUUGCAGAUGAGGAACUGGCUUAGAGCUGCGGCUUCUCCUCCUGGAAGGUGUCCCCAAGACAUUGGCAGCCAUUAGUUGAAACAUUCUUCCAUGCAUUUCUGAGUGC